GGAUAUGGAUGAACGGCUAAAGACGCGCCGCGCCGUCCUGGCGCAACGCCGUUCUAACCAACUUCCUGUUGG
rnacentral:sRNA from 1 species